rnacentral:lncRNA from 1 species
UUCUACUUGUUCAGAUUCCUCGAACUAUGCUCCUUCUACACGCGUCACACGAGCACAUACAAGCAAAUAAAUGCAUAAAUGAGAAAACAGUACACUAAUCAAUAUAAACAGAAGAAAACAAGCUUACAAAACUAUUCUACGCGUUGAAACGAACUCGUGGACAUAAAUAACGCUAAAAACGGAGCUAUGAUGCAAAAGAUACGCUUAAAACAACCUACAGGGGUCUAUUGAGAAAACUAGACUUUCAGGGAUCUAACUGCAAGAAACUGAGGGCCUAAACAUAAUUAUGCGAAUAAACCAAAGGUUUAAUGCGCAAAAGAGCAGCUCUGGACUGCGGAUGCUAUUUUGCUGAAGUCUAGGGUCCUGCGCGAAAGAAAAUAGAACUUAGUUGGAAGGAUUCUUGAACUACGGUGGACCGCGGAGCAAAAUGCGGGAAAUGCAGGGGUUCUUAUGCAAAAGUGGCAUGACUGACUGGUAUUCACCCGGUUUGACUCGAUCCUGGCCAGAUUGGAGCGCUGCGCGGCGGCGGAGCAGGGGCGAACGGCGGCGCUUCGAUUGUGAGCUCACCGGCGAUGCUCGAAAACGAGCUUCCGGUCAUGGUUUCGCAUGCGGAUUCCUCUAGGGGGUAGAGGAGGGUGCGGCGAACCGGUUUAAAGUGUCGACGGUUGGAUUUUUGUGGCGGUGGUGGCGGAGCGAAGCCCGGUGGAAGACGGCGGCUCUGACGAGGGUGGGCAUGCGGAAGAAGAGCACGGGGCGCAUAGGAACUACUCCGGCGGCUUCGUCGACUCCUAGCGGCACUUCGGGCGAUGCUGCUGGCGACGAAGAGGCGUCGGCGGAGGAGAUCAGCACGAUGGUGGCACACGGAAGCUUGUGAGAGGCGGUGCUAUUCCAGGAAAGUGGAGGCUAGGGCUUGCGAAGGGAAAAAAAAGUGGCAGCAGCGGCGCCUUUUAAAGGGAGCCUCGGUGUGC